GAGUGCCCCUGAAAUAUUCUUAUUACUUAUCCCUCUGCCUUGAAUUCUUGUUAUCCAUCUGAAAGGAGCUGCACUUGGUCUUACUAAUUGAUAUGCAAAUCAACUCCACCAUUUACUGUAGGUUGAGUGCACAGUUUGUAUAGUCAGUGGGGUGUGGAGCUAUGUUGGGUGAGUUGCAAAGGUCUACACAGAAAGCUGGGACCAUUUUGGAUUUUUACAGAGGGAACACUCAGACCCUCACUGAGAAAGAUUUCUUCUAGUUUUAUUUUGCCAGCUUCAAGCUAUUUACUGGCAGUUGGUUAUUAUUUCUACAUUCCAGAAAUCAAGUGUGGCUCCUAUUUCAUGGAAAGACAGAUCCACGUCCGGUUCCAUGUCAUUCAUUCUGAAGGGGGCGCUGUAUUCACGCUAUUUAUUCUGAGUGAACUACUACGUGAUCGCGAUCUACUUUGUGACCCCAAUCUGAGUGAGGGGGAGGUGAUACGAGCGUUCCAUCCUGGGUAACAUGGAUUCGUAGACAGUCCAUCGAUGACGAUUAAGUGAUCAACCAUAACAUCGAUCAACGUUUGUUCGAUGUCAGUAAGUCUUGUCGACUGGUAAGCGGAUUCGUUUCCAAGGACUAUGCGCUACAUUUUUUUUGUUUACUCACUACUGAACUUAACUCGGCGAGCAUUGCUCUGAUUCCGAAAUCCAUAUGCCAAAGACAAUGAUUGAACUGGACUAAAACAAGCUAUUUCCAUCUGAAAUAAUUGUAUAUGAGCUCAAAGGACAUACCGGUCCGGUUUUGAUAGUAAGGAUCCUUUUCCAAAUUUAAUAACAUAUCAAAGUGUAAUCUGUCACGUAUACUCUAGGAGUUUUAGUCUUUGUAUUUCAUAUUAAUUUCACCUGUGGUUAUGAAUGAUGUACUUCGACUAGAGUUAAAGGAAUUUACAAAGAAGAGGAGUGAAUGAAUGUAAACCUUGUAAAGGUGAUCAUUUGAAUAUUCUGUUAAUAAAGCUAAACCUAAAUUUAAA